rnacentral:lncRNA from 1 species
AGAAUCAGAUCCUGUGGAGUGUGGGAGUCCGAGGAGGUUACCUUGAGCUGGCAGUGCCUCUGUCCCUGCUGUCUGUCCGUCUGUCUGCCUUUCCAUUGUAGACAACAAAGUGCAGAAUAGAAAACAAGAAAUGCAAACCUGUGCUGAUUGAAAUGGAGGAAGGAAAAUGGAAGAGAAAAAGCUGAAGAGUGGGAAAAAGAUAAAAUAAAAUGAAUUUUGGGGAUUCCACUGUUCCAGCUGAAUCCCUGAGAUGGUGUUGGUUGGAUGAUGGUCCCCAGACCCUGCUGAGUGGUGCAUUCUCCUGUGGCCAGCUCUGAAAGAGGAAAUGAAAUUUGAGGUCAGAGUUGGCAAAAUCUUCAAAAGAAGAGAGAUCAAUGGAACAAUUGACAGUAUGCCUGAUGCAGGCAGCGUGCUGGGUAUCAGAUGCUGCAGAGCUUCAUCCUCUUCCUUCACUGUGCAGCCCAGCCUCGGGACAGUGAUGCAGCACAGAAGGAACAAGGCCAUGGAUGAAAUCAAGGGACACAGAAGUCUUUGGAGUCCCAUCUAUGUGACAAAACAAAAAUGAGUUGAAAAUGCUGAGUUUAUGUUGGGUUCAGCAAUCCUGAUGUCUGCACAGCUGAGAGAGAUCAUUCCCUGGGAGUGUGAGUGUGCCUCUGCAGCUUUGACCAGCCUCUCCCCUGCCCUGGGGAAGGAAGGAACAGCAGGGCUGGGAAGCUGUGCAGUCACAAUGUAAUGACUAA